rnacentral:rRNA from 1 species
UACGUAGGGGGCUAGCGUUGUCCGGAUUUAUUGGGCGUAAAGAGCGUGUAGGCGGCCAGGUAGGUCCGGUGUGAAAACUCGAGGCUUAACCUCGAGAUGUCAUCGGAAACCAUCUGGCUAGAGUCCGGAAGAGGAGAGUGGAAUUCCUGGUGUAGCGGUGAAAUGCGCAGAUAUCAGGAGGAACACCAAUUGCGAAGGCAGCUCGCUGGGACGUGACUGACGCUGAGACGCGAAAGCGUGGGGAGCAAACAGG